AGCUCCAAUAGCGUAUAUUAAAGUUGUUGCGGUUAAAAAGCUCGUAGUUGGAUUUCUGCUAAGGACAGCCGGUCCGCCGUUAUGGUGUGUACAUGGAUUUGACCGAAGCAUUUAUUUGGAUCGCGUCGCUGCACUUUGCUGUGUGGUGUGCGAAACAACAAUUUUACUUUGAGGAAAUUAGAGUGUUUCAAGCAGGCAAUCGCCUUGAAUACAUUAGCAUGGAAUAAUAAUAUAGGACUUCGGUUCUAUCUUGUUGGUUUCUAGAACUGAAGUAAUGAUUAAUAGGGACAGUCGGGGGCAUUCGUACUUAAUUGUCAGAGGUGAAAUUCUUGGAUUUGUUAAAGACGAACUACUGCGAAAGCAUUUGCCAAGAAUGUUUUCA
rnacentral:rRNA from 1 species